rnacentral:rRNA from 1 species
AGUUUCUUGGGUUUUUAUAAGAAAUAGUUUCUGCUCGGUGAUUUUAAACAGCUGCGGUAUUUUGACCGUGCAAAGGUAGCAUAAUCAUUUGCUUCAUAAUUGGGGGCCUGUAUGAAAGGACGCACAAAGUUUUUUCUUUAUUUUUAGGAUAAUUAUAAUUUUCUUUUUUAGUGAAGAAGCUAAAAUUUCGAAGUGGGACAAGAAGACCCUUUUGAGCUUUACUAUUUUCUUUUUUUUUAUAAUGAAGGUAGUUUGGUUGGGGCGACCGAGGAAGAAAGAUCUUCCUUCUUAAUUUUGAUCCAUAGGUUUUGGUUGAUAGAUUAAGUUACCAUAGGGAUAACAGCGUAAUUUUCUUUGAGAGUUCUUAUUAAAAGGAAAGAUUGCGACCUCGAUGUUGACUUAUAAUUCCCUGAUGGUGUAGUAGUUUUUAGGGUGGGUCUGUUCGACCUUUAAAAUUUU